rnacentral:lncRNA from 1 species
CAAAAUACCCUUUCUUAAGCAAUAUUUCUUCUAGCACAAAAAAAAAAAAAAGGUAUAGGAAAAACAGAAAAUAAUAAAAAGUUAGUUUAGUUUUGAAUGAAUCCAAGUGAACAUAGUGAACAUAAUGACAUAUCAUGCCAGUCACUGUUUAGGCAAAGAUUUCUCUCAAGGUUACAUAACUGCCGUCUGUAACUAGGAAACCAUCAUCUGGCUUGGUCUUCUGCGGUUUCCCAGUCAGCCUGUCAGAUCCUUGCCACAGCCUCACUUACAGCACCAAUAUUAUUUUGAAACAUUUAGUGGUUCAAAGGGUAGUUCAUAGGUACAAGAAAAAAUGUUCAAACUGUAGAAAUACUCUAAGUGAGAUGACAAUGUACUAUUUAUUGUUUAGCAAGCAAACAGUGGAAGGAACAAAUAAGUACCAGAACAGAUAGCUGUAAACAGAACACUUUAAAGCAGUCUAACAAUGUUUUAUAUUAAAUCAUCCAUUAACUUUCAUCCAGACGAGAUGAUGCUCUGUAUCGGAGGACUGCAUGAAAUGAUACAUUGGAAGACUCAGGAUCACUCAGCCUACAGUCAAAAGUCUUCCUCCAAAAGCAAGCUGUAGCAGAAACCAUGGACUGAAAAAUCUUCCAAGGAAUGUGAUCAUCUGGCCAAAGGAAACACACUUUCAACCCGUUUUGUACUCAUUUGACCUGAAUACACUUUCAAACUGUAUACGAUAUCACUGAAACAUACCACCCUGAUCCAGUUAUUUGUUGAUGCUACAUUGCAAAUACAUUAGUCGCUUACUGUGACUAUUCAUAGAAAAGUGACUUUGUCUAACGAUGAAAAUAUUUUCCAGCUAUUGAAUACAUUUUAAUUUUGUUACAAAAGUGGAAAUUCUCUUCCAGCAACUUUAUUCUACGAGAAGAGACAUAUGCUUUUAAAAAUUAAUAUGAAAUAUGUGCAAAAAUCACCAGUUAUAUGUAAGAAUUGAAAUACAUUAUAGCUCAAUAAUGAUUUCUUCUCCUUGCAAAAAUGUGAAGGAAAUGUUCUCUGUCUCUCAAAUGUCUCCUUCAUGCACAAAUAUACAGAUAUAUUAGAAUACAUUCACAUACAAAAGAUUCUGAGAUAGAAAAAAAAUUGAAAUAAUAUUUUCAGUUUAGAAUGUGAUCUUUUAAGAGGAAUUUCUCAUUGUAAUGUAAUUCUGUAUAAUUGUAAUUUAAUUCUCAUUGUAAUAUAAUUCUACACUUCUAUAUUCUAUGUUGAUGCAGAAUAAAAAGAAAUAUUAUAGAUGCA